rnacentral:rRNA from 1 species
CAGUCGCCGCGGUAAUACGAAGGUCCCGAGCGUUGUUCGGAAUCACUGGGCGUAAAGGGAGCGUAGGCGGCGUGGUAAGUCAGAUGUGAAAUCCCGGGGCUCAACCCCGGAACUGCAUCCGAUACUGCUGUGCUAGAGGAUUGGAGAGGUAGCUGGAAUUCUUGGUGUAGCAGUGAAAUGCGUGGAGAUCAAGAGGAACACUCGUGGCGAAAGCGAGCUACUGGACAAUAUCUGACGCUGAGGCUCGAAGGCCAGGGUAGCGAAAGGGAUUAGAUACCCCAGUAGUCCCUGUCUCUUAUAC